GGUCGAUGUCGCUGCAUGGUGCCGUUCGUGCCGUGCAGCAAUAAUUUCACCGAGAUCAGAAGAAAUUUUACCGCGACCUGAUUUCUAUCCGCGCAAGAGAAAAUCGGCUGAUUUUGGCAAUACUUUGCACUCAUUGGGACAUUUCGAAUCACGCUGCCUAGUACGACGGCGCUGAGGCAGCUUUCGCUGCGACCUAACAACCAUACAGGGAAACGGAAUAACUGGAAAGGUCACCGAAUUCUCGUGCCCUAUAUUUAGCGCUUACUCUGCCAAUGCCGCUGGGCAAAAAUGUGUCAAAACCACUCAGUCUGCACUACACUAACGAAGUUCGUGGGGAGGGAUUGACGGAACCGUCUAGUAUUUGGAACUCGUGUUAGUUGUGAUUGUUUGCACUUCGCAUGUGACCUUUUACUCGGUUAAAACUCGAAACCAAGAGGCAUUUCAGUAUCGCGUAAUACAGUGUACAGAUAUGAUUGCGAUGCUCUGUUUUGUCGGCAGCUCGACGUUAACUUGACUGUUCAUUGACUUGGCGCACAUGAUGGACAAGAUCGGUGGAUGUGUUGCGAAAGAAAGCAGCGCCGGGCCGCUGUCUUCUUGACAAACGAACAAUCGAAUAUAUAACAUGUACAGCUAGAGAAAA